ensembl:snoRNA LOC120102047 small nucleolar RNA SNORA17
GGUGCCUCUGGAGGUGUUGUGGAUGUAACUGCUGUGUCACAUGUGCAUCGGUAGGUGGCAGAGAGGAGAAAGGCUAUGUUUACCUUCAGUUUUCUGACCUACGGAUAUCUGAAUGAUUAGUAGCCUAACACU